rnacentral:lncRNA from 1 species
AAGAAUAGAGAGAUAUAUUGGAGUAACUAAUAAAGUUAGUUACUGAUAGUUAGAUGGUUAAUGGAAGUUGUUAUUGUAUUGAAACUAGUAUAAAUAGAACUGUAAUGAUACAAUGAAAGUAAUUCAAUCAAGGGUGAAGGUAGUACGUACCAUCACUCCACGUUUUGUAAUCUCGAGUUCUUAUUCCGUUCAAUAAGAUGUCAGUGAGAGAGAGUGAGUGAGAUAUUUUUAGGCGAGAGUGAUAUAAGAAUAUAACUAGAAUACAGGGCAAAUAAGCAAUUUACCAUAAGAAACAAGCUUAAGACGUAAAGAAAUAUAAAUAACCCAAAGGUUAUGACAAAACAGAAUAAACUGUUUUGUUAUAAACUAACAGGGGUUCUUUUAUAAAUGUUUCAAUAAACGUUAUUUGAACCUAAGCGUAAUUAAAAAAAACUAAAGGUUUUCGUAAUAUAACUGAGAUCUAUAAAUACAAGGAUCAAAUUGUAAAAAU